rfam:Mycobacterium kansasii 732 gmk732.contig.24, whole genome shotgun sequence.
CGAAAGUGCCUUUCUUGAGCUGGACGAUUGUUGUCUGAAACUCCAAUCAUCCCAGGUCAAAAGGCACUUUCCUCAUCUCGACACCCGAAACGAACCCAAUCCAUCCGUGGAUCGAG